GAUUGAAGUGAUGAUUUAUUUUACCCAAUAUUGUCUGCACUAUGGUAUGAUGAUCUAUAAUACAUGCACUACCAUCUGAUCAAUCUUUUCCUAAUUUUUUGUAAAUCCCAAAUUAAAAAUGCAUACGGUGCAAUCGAUGAUGCAAAUCUACAUUUUAAACUGAUGUUUUGCUGUGAUUAACUUAAAUUUAUCACCAUCUUUCGGCUGAGAUUGCAUUAGAAGGUGUUAUUUAUUUAAAAUGCCCUAUGGUAUCUGAUGCCUUGACCUAAUUAAUGUUUUAGGCAUCUCGUUAGACGGGCAGAUAGCGAUGAAAACAGGUUUGCGACACAGUUUGCUGCUACAUUUCUAAGCUUACUGUUACUUUUAUUACUGUUCACAUUUUUUAGUAUUUUUGUGACAUGCAAUUUUUUUAGGGCAGUGAUGAGAAAUUAGGAAAGUCAUGCACCACUCUGAUACUCAUUGUGAUUGAUAAACUUUCUCAUAACCCAUAUUUUUGUAUCUGAGCCC
rnacentral:lncRNA from 1 species